CCUUUCUACGGAGAAUACAGGCCACUGUCCGGUGGCCGGUGCGAACCCCGAGCCCGCGGAAUGGUUCCGUGGUUUUUGUUUCGGGGAUGCUGGUGUGGAAGAGAUCAUGCGCUUGCAUGGUGCGGGCAUGCUUUUGGGCUCCCGGACCGCCACCCCGCAGGUUUCCUGCGGUGCGGUUCCGAUGCCCAUGCGGAGUACGCGGGUUCCCCUCGGGGGCUUGCGGGAACGCGUGGCGCGUGGUGGUUUGAGAACUGGAUAGUGGACGCGAGCGAUUCGGAAGGAAUCCUGUUUCUUCCGUUUUGCUUUUAUUGUUUUUCGAUCGAACUCUUUAGAUUGAUUCUGAUUUAUUGUUGUUCGUCGAUCGUUUUGUGAUCAUUUCAGAUGUGAUGAUUUGUCGUCUGGGAAUUUGCCGAUAGGGCGCUUGCGGGUCCCGUACGGGUGUAUG
rnacentral:misc_RNA from 1 species